UUCGCCCUUCGCCCGGGGCGCGCCCCGGGCGGGGCGGGGGCACGGGGGGAACGCGAAGAACCUUACCAAGGCUUGACAUGGACCGGACCGCCGCAGAAAUGUGGUUUCCCCUUUGGGGCCGGUUCACAGGUGGUGCAUGGUUGUCGUCAGCUCGUGUCGUGAGAUGUUGGGUUAAGUCCCGCAACGAGCGCAACCCUCGUUCCAUGUUGCCAGCGCGUAAUGGCGGGGACUCAUGGGAGACUGCCGGGGUCAACUCGGAGGAAGGUGGGGACGACGUCAAAUCAUCAUGCCCCUUAUGUCUUGGGCUUCACGCAUGCUACAAUGGCCCGGNACAAAGGGUUGCGAUACUGUGAGGGNGGAGCUAAUNCCCNCAAAGCCGGUCNNAGNUCCGGAUUUGGGG
rnacentral:rRNA from 1 species